UGUUUCUCCAUUGGGCUGUCGAUUAUUGUUACAAUGUCUGUUGGUCAUGACAGAGGGGUACUCAACCAAUCAGAUGAGAGUGUGAUGAGCACGCCAGCUUACGGUUUGUGGGAAACAACCAAUCAGAUGAAGGAGCGUGAUGACUGAUAUUUUGUUCCAUAUAGUGGAGGCUCCUUAGAGGAAGAAAGGUGAAGACCAUCCUCAGUGAAUUUUAAAAAAAAAACGUAAAUUGUGAAACAUUCAAAAAAGUGAUCCUUUUAAGAAAAAACGAUACUAAAUAUAUUCAUGUCACCAAA